rnacentral:RNase_P_RNA from 1 species
CGAGUCGGCUGGGCGGUCGCGUCGGCGGGGGAGACCCCGCCGCCGAGGAACGUCCGGGCUCCACAGGGCAGGGUGGUCGCUAACGGCGACCCGGGGUGACCCGCGGGACAGUGCCACAGAGAACAGACCGCCAGCAGUGCCUUCUCGGAGGCUCGGCUGGUAAGGGUGAAACGGCGGUGUAAGAGACCACCGCACACCGGGUGACCGGUGUGGCUCGGUAAACCCCACCCGGAGCAAGGUCGAGAGGGACGGCGACUGGGCGACCAGGAACCGUCCUGCGCAGGCGUUCGAGGGCUGCCCGCCCGAGCCUGCGGGUGGACCGCUCGAGCCUGCCGGCAACGGCAGGCCUAGAUGGAUGAUCGCCCACCGGGAGGCCGCGAGGCACCCGGGGACAGAACCCGGCGUACAGGCCGACUCGUCCG